CAGCAGGAGACAGUUCUCUGAAGCUUAUUGGCUCUGUGAAUUAUAAAUUUCUUAAGAUCCAGUCACUGUUUGUCGGCCACUUUGAAGUGAGUGGAAACGGAGAGAAACAAGCUUUUCUUCACAUUAAGAAGCCGAGGCACCCUGAAGACAGUGGAGAAUAUUUUGGAGCAGCCAGUGUACACAGUUAUAAAGACGGAGAUGCUGUCGUACAUGAAACCUCAAUUACGAUCCAGCAGAUACCAGCACACAGACUGUAAACCACUGAAACCAUGUGACAGUCUUCAUUAUAACUGGAAUUUGUUUUAUUCAUUUAGGGAGCAAUGAUGACAAGACAGUUGAGGGCACGUUUCUGAUGUUUCUAACAAGCAUCAGAAGUAAAACUGAAAAAGAAGAAAGAUCUAAGGAUGAAAUAAAGCAGUCAUUCACGUAGGAGACGCUGACAAGGACAAUAUGUUAAUAUAUGGGAAAGAAAAACUCAGAGUUCAUGUUUGAAAAAAGCAGUUUUUCCAAUUCGUGUCACGGCAAAGAAUGUUAAAUCUACCUGAGGAGUUUCUAUGACCACACGCAGAGUCAAAAUGAUUCCGAGCUUCACCACCUUGACUUUCUUUGUACUCUGGGCUUCAGGAGUUUCUCAUUCUGUGCUUAUCACUCAGUGGCCCCAGUACAUUUUAAGGUCUCUCAGUGGCUCUGCAGAAAUGCACUGCUACCAGAAUGACACCGACUAUCAGUAUAUGUACUGGUACAAACAGCAGCGAGGAACACAACCUCAGUUAAUGGUUUAUUUAGUGGGCAGCUCUGCCACCUAUGAAGAAGGAUUCAAAUCUGGCUUUGAGGCAAAGAUAUUGCAGAAGAAGAAGUGGUCUCUGAAGAUACCCAGCACUCAGAGGAAAGAUGAGGCUGUUUAUCUGUGCGCUGCCAGUCUACACAGUGCUGUGACAGACACCAAGUCUAUGACAAAAACAUCCCGACAUCUGACUCACAUUAAUGAUAACAGGAAGGAUGUCAACCACACUGUGGAGAUGUUAUCAGGGACAUUUACUGCAAAUGCCUUCUCACUUGAGUCAAUGUAAGUGAAGAGCAAAGGAUGAAUAAUAUUAAUUAUAAAAUAAACUAUAAAGAACAAACUGCUCUGUAAAAUUAAGGAGUAUAUGACUUGUCGUAUAAAAUAAAACAAAACAGAUUUAUGUUGAAACACAGGACGUGUUAAUGAGGA